GACGAACGCUGGCGGCGUGCUUAACACAUGCAAGUCGAACGGAAAGGCCCUGCUUUUGUGGGGUGCUCGAGUGCCGAACGGGUGAGUAACACGUGAGUAACCUGCCCUUGACUUUGGGAUAACUUCAGGAAACUGGGGCUAAUACCGGAUAGGAGCUCCUGCUGCAUGGUGGGGGUUGGAAAGUUUCGGCGGUUGGGGAUGUACUCGCGGCUUAUCCGCUUGUUGGUGGGGUAGUGGCUUACCAAGGCUUUGACGGGUAGCCCGCCUGAGAGAGUUACCGGCCACAUUGGGACUGAGAGACGGCCCAGACUCCUACGGGAGGCAGCAGUGGGGAAUAUUGCACAAUGGGCGGAAGCCUGAUGCAGCAACGUCGCGUUCGGGAUGACGGCCUUCGGGUUGUAAACCGAUUUCGCCUGUGACGAAGCGUGAGUGACGGUAAUGGGUAAAGAAGCACCGGCUAACUACGUG
rnacentral:rRNA from 1 species